UACGAAGGGGGCUAGCGUUGCUCGGAAUCACUGGGCGUAAAGCGCACGUAGGCGGGUUCUUAAGUCAGGGGUGAAAUCCUGGAGCUCAACUCCAGAACUGCCUUUGAUACUGGGAAUCUCGAGUCCGGGAGAGGUGAGUGGAACUCCGAGUGUAGAGGUGAAAUUCGUAGAUAUUCGGAAGAACACCAGUGGCGAAGGCGGCUCACUGGCCCGGUACUGACGCUGAGGUGCGAAAGCGUGGGGAGCAAACAGG
rnacentral:rRNA from 1 species